AAUUCAAGAAGAGAUGAACAUCAACAGAAGAACCAUAAGUGAAAUAACAAAAGUUAUGUGGGACUCUGGUAAUGAGGUAUAGAAUUCAAGAGCAAUGUGCAACUCACACUAACAUUUGUACUCAAGGAAAACUAAAGGACAUAUUCAGUGACUACUACGAAGCAACAAAGGAAGAAAAUACAAAAAACGCUUUAAAGUUGUCUUUCAAUUUAUUUUAAAUAUUGAUUAAGUAGUUCUUUAAAUUUGUGUUUCAUACAUUUUAUGGAUAAUUGAGGAUGUUAAAGAUUUAAUUCUUCAUUUUAUUUUAAA